UGGAGGAAAGCAGGGGAUCGUAAGACCUUGCGCUUUUGGAGUGGCCGGUGCCUGAUUAGAUAGUUGGGGGGGUAAAGGCCUACCAAGGGGACGAUCAGUAGUUGGUCUGAGAGGACGACCAGCCACACUGGGACUGAGACACGGCCCAGACUCCUACGGGAGGCAGCAGUGGGGAAUUUUGGACAAUGGGCGAAAGCCUGAUCCAGCAAUGCCGCGUGAGUGAAGAAGGCCUUCGGGUUGUAAAGCUCUUUCAGUCGAGAAGAAAAGAUUGUGAUGAAUAAUCACAGUUCAUGACGGUAUCGACAGAAGAAGCACCGGCUAACUACGUGCCAGCAGCCGCGGUAAUACGUAGGGUGCAAGCGUUAAUCGGAAUUACUGGGCGUAAAGGGUGCGCAGGCGGCUUUGUAAGUCAGAUGUGA
rnacentral:rRNA from 1 species